GUGUCUGUAUAUGUGUUUGUGUGUCUGUAUGUGUAUGUGUGUGUGUGUGUGUGUGUGUGUGUGUGUGUGUGUGUGUGUGUGUGUGUGUGUGUGUGUGUGUGUGUGUGUGUGUGUGUAUGUCUAUGUAUGUGUGUGUGUGUGUGUGUGUGUGUGUGUGUGUGUGUGUGUGUGUGUGUGUGUGUGUGUGUGUGUGUGUGUGUGUGUGUGUUUGUGUGUGUGUGUGUGUGUGUGUGUGUCUCUCUGUCUGUCUGGUUGUCUGUCUGUCUGUGUGCGUGUGCGUGUCUAUAUGCGUGUAUGCAGGGUGCGAUUUGUGAAAAAACCAGAGGGGGGGAUAAUUUUGAGAAACAUUUUAUUCAGGAAAAAUAACCACACAACAGUGUGAAAACUUAUGAAAACAGUUGAUCUUGUGACCUUGUCUAUCUAAACCUUACACUUAGGCUUCAUAACGUAGGCGGUAGGCCUAUUUUGAACGUGAACUUAACCAAUGCAUUUGCAGAAAUAUUUUCUCAUAGCUAAUAUUGUUUUUAAAUGUGCCAAAUAAAAAAAUAUAUAUAUUUUUUCCCCGAUAUCAGUUCAAUAGAAAAUAUGAAAUACCACAAUGUGCUGUCAAGACGUUUUUUUUUUAUGGGUUAAUCGGGUAGACUAUAGGUCAGACUACGAAAACAGUCCGCUCUGAUGACGCACUUCAGCCUCUUUUUUUUGCUUUCCUGUUGGCGGAUCGAUAGCAGCGUGGUGACCCUGCUUCAACCACAUCUCUGCAAAUCUGCGGGCCGGGAAGGAGGCAACAUCUGGUGCAUUUACAGAGAUGAAAAGCAGAUUGUGCAGUGUGGACACAUUCAUUCUGUUUCUGCCAUCUGUAAGAAUGUGGUUCAUGGCGCUGAAACCUCUUUCACACUCGGCUGUGGACACUGGGAGCGUGGAGACAGCGGUGAGAACUUUGCGCAUGCUCUCUCCUGUGACACCGUGACAUUUAAACUCAUGGAACUCCUUCAGUAGUAUGGGACUGGUUGCGGCCUCAACAGCAAGAGUUUUGUGUAUGGCGAGAAGUUUUUCAUCGCCGUAGAGGAUGCGCUCGUCUUCAUCAGAUGGCCAGUUUGAUGGAUUUAGAACGGCGGCGGCAGAGAUUAUCCCGUUGUCAUCCAGCCUGCGCUCAAUGUUCUCUCCCAUCUAUCGCUCCCGGUAGAUCAAAAUCACAGCACAAUCAAAAUGAAGACGGACCCUGUGUAUUUUGGUUGUUAAUUAUUACGAUGUAAUGGUGAAAAUACUUUGGGUGGGGGGGAUAAUUUUUAUCCCCACCGAGGAUAAAAAUAAUUCAGCAGAGGGUAGGACGUGUAAACCAGAGGGGGGGAUAAUCCCCACCAUCCCCACCGGCAAAUCGCACCCUGCGUGUAUGUAUGUGCCAA